GGAAUUUUGGACAAUGGGGGCAACCCUGAUCCAGCCAUGCCGCGUGCGGGAAGAAGGCCUUCGGGUUGUAAACCGCUUUUGGUCGGGACGAAAAGGUUCUCUCUAAUACGGGGGACUGUUGACGGUACCGGCAGAAUAAGCACCGGCUAACUACGUGCCAGCAGCCGCGGUAAUACGUAGGGUGCGAGCGUUAAUCGGAAUUACUGGGCGUAAAGCGUGCGCAGGCGGUUUGUUAAGUCUGAUGUGAAAGCCCCGGGCUCAACCUGGGAACGGCAUUGGAAACUGGCAAGCUAGAGUGUGGCAGAGGGGGGUGGAAUUCCGCGUGUAGCAGUGAAAUGCGUAGAGAUGCGGAGGAACACCGAUGGCGAAGGCAGCCCCCUGGGCCAACACUGACGCUCAGGCACGAAAGCGUGGGGAGCAAACAGGAUUAGA
rnacentral:rRNA from 1 species